CUCGACGCUGCUUCUUCUCUCUCGCGUUCUGUUGUUCCUCCACUUUGUCUCUCUCUCUCGCCUGUUCCCCGUGACGAAGACGACGGAAAGCGCCGCGGCUGAAGCCUUGCAAGUUAAGGAGUAAGAGUUGCGAACGGGCCAACGAGGUGGUCCAGUGAUGAUAUGGUCGAGGUGCUCGGCCUGAACAAGCUUCGAGGGGCCAACCACGCCUUUGUCGAUGCCAUGAUAUGGUUCCUCGCGCUCCUGCGUGCCAUUCCGGACAGCAGUCCUCGCCGAUGCCUACCUCUGCAUGCUGCAGGUCAGCUCCCUGAGCCUGCAACUACGACAUGGUGUGACACUAUCUCAAAACUUUAGAUUUGGUGCAGUUCCGAUGGAGCGUCCACUACCAAGGCCAAGGUGUUCAUUCAUUGGAAGAAAAGAUAAUAAGAACUUCAUAUUCAGGGGUUAUAUUUUGGCAACCUCUAGCAAGGAUUCCACUGAGGCUUGGACAGAAGCACCAUAAUUGCAACAGACAACUCCAUCCCAUCUAACGUGGAUACCUCGAGGCCUUGCUCCAUCUGCAGGUGUUCCUUUCAAUCAGUCUGAUCCCUCGACCAUACAAGCUCUUGCUUAAAUGAGCCUCAGGUGCAACUCAACUUUUGUGUAAAUUGAUGAUUUUCAAUAGUUCAUCUUGAGUUUAUUUUUUUUGUUUAACAUGAAAAUAGGUUCAGUAAAUUUACUUCUGAAGAAAAUUGCAUAUUUGUGUUGGUUUCAACAGAGGUAGUGUUUUGCUGAAAGAGAUCUUUACUUCUUCAUUACAACCCACAAGGCAUCUGUGCAGUUCUUAAAAAUACUGAAUAUCAUAGGUCCACUCUUAUUAUGCUUCCAAGCAUCCAACAAACCAAGAUACCGAUGUAACAGAGCAACCAACUGAAAUCACACCCGUGGCUGAUAUCUCCUUCACUUGUAAUUGUUUGUUCUUCUUUGGUAUGGAUUUAUUAUUGUUUUCUUUCCAUGAAGAUCUCAUUUUAAACUAUUUCAAAAUUGAUAUUUCGUAUAGAGGGCACAUCUAAAUUCAGUUGAUGGGUUUAUAAUAUUUUGCCAAAGCUAAGCCCAGGUGAUCUUUCUUCUAUAAAAUAUUUUUUCUUGAGUUCAUGAUCUGGUGUUUCUAUAUUUAUUCAGGUAUCUAUGUUGCUUUUCCAGUUUUUUAAAUGUUGUCAAAUCAUUAGCUAAAAUAGCUGGCUGCUAGACUAAGAUUGCAUGUCAAUAGAGUUCAUCCAUAAAUUCACUUUUUUUCUUACUUACUACGGUACUACAGAAUUCAUAGCACACAUGUACUUCCCUAUAAGCAGUUCGGCAAAGUAAUAGGGAUAUAUAUAUUAAUCUGCAUUUGCUUUGCCCUGCUCUCCCUGGAAACAGUCUGCUGUUUUUAGCAACCAAUCCGCAGUGUUUGACCAUUGUCUUGCUCAAUUGUGGCACUUGGCCAUUUUUUCCUUCUGAUUUAUCAAUUUGAGCAUCUCAUCUUACAUCGAGAGAUCUCUCAAGUGCUUCAAUAUGUCAGUGUUUUUCAUACGUCCUGGGUAUGUAAAUUUCCAAAAUAAAAUGUUUAGUGCUGCAGGGAAUGUUGGUUCUUCUUCUUAGUCUAAAUGUAUUAUGUUUGCUUAGCUGAUCAGAAUUCCACAAGGCUGCAUAGUUUGCAGCUAUCUAGAAGCACUUUGUGCUGCAUAAUUUUGAGAGGAUGGGUCUUUUACAUUUUAAAUUUUGUUUUACUUUAGUGCUUAUUGAAUAUGAUCCAUUGAGGCACUGCGUCAUUUCGAAGUCACGGUUCGGCUGAAGUGAAGUGACGAUCCAAUACAUAUCCAGCCCAACCAGUAUUCGAAAACUAAAAAAUGUACAUUUUUUUUUACGAUUCUUAGAAAUUAUAAUUAAAUUAGUAUGUUCCCUUUUCUAUUUGCUAUGGAAAAAUGAACUAAUUAGUAAAUGAGCGUUUACUCUAGCAUUUGAAAGGGCAACCUUUACAUUAUGCUAUAUGUUUUAUGGUUAUGUAAAGAUGGUGGUGUAGGUUUCCUGUUAACUGAUUAUGGUACCUUUUCACUUUUCCAGUGAGAAGUUCCAUACCGUUUAGGACUGGCAAUCUGAUGGAGUUUUUAAAGUAUAGGUUUUGGACUUGAUCAGGAGGAAAGAACCUGAAUACGUUUAGAUCCUUUCCUGUGGCUGAUAUAACUCUAGAAGGAUGAAAAUAGCUUGCCAUGGUCAGUUUCUUACUAGAGGAGGCGAGGAGCAACCUGAGAAUUUUAAAAGUUUAUGAACUUUAACAGCUGCAGACACAAACAACCUAUAUUGGUAGAUGAUGUGGUAUGUUUUCCUUAGGAGUCGGCUGAAGUAUUUGUGCUCUGUUUUACAUGUGCAUGCACACAGUGACAGAGCAAUUUUAAUGGAUGUAUCGAUAUAUCAAAUUUGUCAUUGUUUCUUAGUGAAAUACUCACUUUAACCCCUUUGGUAUAUCGUUCUCUUGACAAGGACAAUUCAUAUGUAAUAUUACUCUGCCUCUUUGGUUUCAAAUUGCAGAAGCUCUACAUUACAAUGCUACAUUGUUUUCCAGGGUGCAUCAAAGAGUCAAAGAAUUCCAUACUACUUAUUACUAUACUAAACCUCAACUGCCUUGAUUUUUCUCAAAUUUUUCAUCUUUUUUGGACUCCAAUGGUGCCGACAUGUAGAUUUUUUUUUAUUUUCCUUCCUGAUUCCUCGGUGGUAGGCUUUUUGGGUGACUUUGUCAUGUGUCUUUUGCGGUAGUAUGGUUUACAAUUUUGUGCCCAGUCAAAGCGGCGAUGCUACCUUUCUGUCUCCUCUCGGCUCUUUCUCGGUUUCUCCCCAGUUUCUGCCGGCCUGGUCCCUAUUCUCCGGCAGCAUCGAUCCUGGCCACCAGUCUACAGCGACAAGUCCCCGGUGCUCGACGUCUGCAAUGGCGAUGACACCAACGAUUGGAUCAGGCAAGGUGCCUUCCACCUCCCCUUUAGCAGCGGCAACCGUCAUCGGCAGCAUGCUAAUGUUUAGAUUGCUGUAGGGAUCUACCUGGUCUUCGAGCAGAAGUCUCCAGAAGAGUGACAACGACAAAGGAUACAAAGAUGUUGCCAUCACACGUGCCGGUCCCUUGCCCCUUAUCCAACACUGCAAAUGCUGGUGAUAUUGUUGGACUUCCCCGUUUAGAUGAGGCCUACAGUGCCAGUGUUCUAUUCUGGUCCAAGAAAUCCUAGCUCUCACUUACUAGGAUGAUACUUGGUCGUGUAAAUGGUGAGCUCCAGGCUUUAGCACCUCUAAGAUGAGGCUUGCAGUGCCUGUAUUUUAUUGGUCUCCAAGAAAUCCUAGCUCUGGCUGAUGAGAUCGGUACUUGGUCCUAUAAAUGGAGAACUCUAGGUUUUAGCACCUAAGUUAUAUAGAGUUCCCAAUGGAAUAUCAUCCAUGUAAGUUCUCAUUUGUUAUGGACAUCAUGUAGUUAACUCAACGCAGUUUAUAUGUGUCUUUUGCUUAUGGAUAGGGUUAAUACAAGAGCCCUGCUGUAGCACAUAAUUUAUUUUUGGAAGAUUAUUUGGCUUUUGCUUAUGAGGGAUCCCUGCUGUAGCACAUGUAUUGUGCAACGAACUCAAAUUUGAGACAAAAGAUCAUUUGUUCUUUCAAUAUUGGAGAGGCUGGAAAUAUCUUUCCUUUGGUUUCACAGCUACAGACUGUAUCUAGGCCUGGAGUAGCAAUGCUGCGGUAAGCAGUUCGUAUCCUGUUAACCUUUAAAAAGAAAAAAUCUGCAACUGGAUAUGGACCCUCAACAGAGGGUAAUUCACCUAAGCAUAAACUGAUUGUGCUUCCAGUAUGUUUCUAUUUUGUUCUCUUGACAGCUUUGAGAGAAGAAUAAGAACUGCUUUUUUACUUUCAGUUGUCCGUACCCACUUACCCACUUAUUCCUAUACUUCUCUUAUUAGAAAAAAACAUACAAAAAUGAAGAAGGGUCCAUUUAGUUUAGCUUCCAAGCCAUUGGGGACUGUGCAUUAUUACAAACUGCAAUUUUUUGUUUGGAUACUUAAACAUGCUAUUUCUGGCUUGACUGAUGCAAUUUUGCAUGAACAUUACUUUGGGUCAGGUGCUUUUGUCGUACGAAAGAUUUGCGGGUGGGAUAAGUAUGCAGCAUAAAAUUCUUGAUGCAUAUACAUGGACGGUUUUAAUUGAGAUGGAUUCAUGUAGGCUGUUAGGUUCAGACUCACUGAUAGACAUGUACUAUGGCUUCUUAUUUUACAUUGAGUUAUCUGUUGACAUUUUUACAGUAAACGGAUGGUAUUUGGAUAAACAAGUUAGAUGCUUUGUAAACUGCAACGGAGAAGAUAUUUUCUGUUUAUAAUUUUCACAGCACUUGGGACAUGACGAGAUGGAGGGUCAUAGUACUACAUGAGUUAUUAUGGACAAUUCUACAUUGCCGUACCAAGAGUGACAUCCAAGGAAAGAUUAAAUAUACUUGCACUAGAUGAAAAUGAUGCAUCAACUACCAAGCUCAGAAAUCUGGUGUACCAAAUAGUACUUGAUUUGUUCAUCAUUUGAUAUAGUGCUCACCUUUACCUAUUCAGGUUAUAACUUCAGGUAUGCCCACACAACUUCCUGCAAUUUAGAGGUCUAUACAGAUUUAUAUUCGGUUACUUCGAUCCUCCAUAUGCAAAUUUUGACACUUGGCUCUUUUUACAGCUCUUACUCUGCAUUCUUGCCCUCUCUUUCAUGAAACCAUUUUGAUGAAAUUAAACAUAUCUGUGACAUCUCAUGCUUAUUGAGUUUAUGUUUUCCUUCUAUGUGAUACUUGUGUCUCUUAAACUUUGUAAAAUACACGUUACUUCAUUGGUGUGGCAGACUAUGUUUCGCACUGUCUAUAAAUAAUGUGCGAACUUUAUCAUGCCAAUGUUUUCACCUAUUUAGAGCACAGUUAAGGAUGCACAGCUUCAGGGAGUUCAAUUCGAUCAGCUUUUUGAAGUGUAUAAACACCAUUGCUUGGCAGCCAUCGUUUCAAUCCUCCCAUUCCUGCUACUAAAUAGAUGCCACAAUCCAGUUAAGAUACCAUCGGCAUUUCAACAACACAUCACAGGCAAGUUCCUUAGAAUAUUGUGUGCGGCAGUACCGCCGUUAGACUGUGGGGCGUAUGGUUGACAGAGUGAAGGGCCGAAUAUUCAUCGAGCACAAGUGGGCAUUAUCUGCUGAAGCGAACGGUGUGGGCAGCAUUUGCUGAAGCGACCGGCGUGGCUAAAGGUGACCCUCUAAUCUUCACAUAUAUCUCCAGAUCCAUGUUGAAGGUAUCCUUCCUAAGCGGCAACGAAUGUGAGAAUAGAUCAGUCAUGUCCUAUGAGCUACUUCAUAAGAGCAAUAAACUGACUUGAGUGUGUCAUUACCCACCGAUGCAGCCGAUAAAACAGAUAAGUUGCUUAUUAAAACAGAUAAGCCCAAGACAAAACUGAUCUAUCCUUAUUUAUUUUGUGAGAGAACUAAAAAGUUACUUACUGAUAAGUUGGUUUAAUUAUUUACCCUUUUCCAUUGGCCCUUCCUGUCUUGCUGCAUCCCAUUUCACUUCUUAGUUUUUGAAAAGGGGUGGCUAGAUGCCACAUAAGGAACAUUAAAUCGUAUACUUAUUUGGAUAGUAGAGAAACAAAUCAAAAAUUAUUUUGCUCCACUUCCCUUUUUCAGGAGCUUCACAGUUAUAAAAUGCCAACUAAGCUAAUAAGAGGAAGCACUUUUACAAGCUAGAAAACCAUGAAAAAUAAAGCUAUCCCAUGAAUGUUCAGAUGAAUACAAGAGUUGAUUUGAUAUAUUCAGACUGCAGUACAUGGAAACUGAUCUCAAAACAUGGAUUUAUGAUCUGCAUUUUAUUUAGUACAACGAUGUAUUCUUAACUCUACUUUUCAAUGAUUUUGAAGUAUGACUGCUACCAGGAUACUAUGAUAUCACCUUCAUGAGGAAGAUGUAUAUGUUCGAGAGCAUGACUAAAUAUAGGUUCCAUUUUGC